rnacentral:misc_RNA from 1 species
GAUGAAAGAACGCAGCGAAAUGCGAUAAGUAAUGUGAAUUGCAGAAUUCAGUGAAUCAUCGAAUCUUUGAACGCACAUUGCGCCCGCCAGUAUUCUGGCGGGCAUGCCUGUUCGAGCGUCAUUUCAACCAUCAAGCCCCCGGGCUUGUGUUGGGGACCUGCGGCUGCCGCAGGCCCUGAAAACCAGUGGCGGGCUCGCUAGUCACUCCGAGCGUAGUAGUUACAUCUCGCUCAGGGCGUGCUGCGGGUUCCGGCCGUUAAAAGCCUUUUACCCCAAGGUUGACCUCGGAUCAGGUAGGAAGACCCGCUGAACUUAAGCAUAUCAAUAAGCGGAGGA